ACGAAGCGUUAGCAGCGUUAGCUAUGUGGAUGUAUUUAGUUAGCUGGAAGAAGGUUAUUAGGUCAUAACGCAGGUAAUUAUUCAUGUUAUAGUUUAGCAACAAUGUCUUCAGUUCAGUAUUUGAGAGGGUUUAUCAACGAGAGACUAACUGCUGCUGCUGAAGAAAUAUUCGGAGUUAUAGAGAAAACUAUCGUCGAGUACGAAGAAGAGAUCGACCGUCAGCGCAGACUGUUGGAUAUAACUUGGAAACCUGAAAUAAAGUUACACAGGAUAGUUCCUCCAGAGCUCCCACAGCAACAUGUCUGUAAGGAGGAGGAGGUUGUCGCUGAGCAGCAGCUCUGUAUUGAAGAGAGGAACUCCAGUGUGGAGCAAGAGGAGCCAGAGCCUCCAGAGAUUAAAGAGGAAGAGGAGGAACUGUGCAGCAGUCAGGAGGGAGAGCAGCUUGAAGUGAAGCAGGAGACUGAUGACUUUAUGUUGACUCCUAUUAAUGAGGAAAGUGAGCACAGUGAAGAUCAGACUGUGAACUGGAGUAUCACUGAAACUCAGAAUAUGGUGGAGGAAAUGCCUCUACAGUACAUUUCAGAUAAAAGCUAUGUGGUCCCAGAACCUGACAGUGACCACCAGCUCCUCUCUCAUGAAGCUGAGAGCCAAGAUCAGAAAGGAGACAAGCAUGGAGACUCAGGUUCAACUAGAAAUGCAGAGCAAACAGAACCAAAUAACAACAGCAACAGUCACAUUAACAACUUAUAUAACCCUACUAUAUCAACAAUUCACUAUAAUACUCACACAGGUAAAAAGUCUUUCAAAUGUGACACAUGUGGGAAAGCUUUCACAUGUAGGUCACUUUUUCAGAGACACCUGAGAGCACACACAGGUGAGAAGCCAUAUUCUUGCAACAUUUGCGGGAAAAAAUUCACUCAGACAUCAGGAUUGAACGCUCAUAGAAGAACACACACAGGUGAGAAGCCAUUUAUUUGCAAGAUAUGUGGGAAAGAAUUUGCAUUUAGCAGUCCCUUGACUGUCCACAUGAGAACUCACACAGGAGAGAAGCCAUAUUCUUGCAACAUCUGUGGGAAAAAAUUCAAUCAGAAAUCAAUAUUGAACAAUCAUAGGAGAACACACUCAGGAGAGAAGCCGUAUUGUUGCAAAACAUGUGGAAAAGAUUUCAGAACAAGAGGUAACUUUAUAGAGCACACCAGAAUUCACACAGGAGAGAGGCCGUACUCUUGCAAGACAUGUGGGAAAGAUUUUGGACGUAAGACUGACUUGAAUGUCCACAUGAGAAUCCACACAGGUGAGAAGCCACAUUCUCGCAGCACCUGCAGGAAAAGAUGCUGUCGGACAACAGAAUUGAAAUCUCAUGUAAGAACCCAUACAGGUGACAGACGCCAUAUUAAUACAACACCUGUGGAAAAAAUUCAGACAUAACAGCAAAUCUUUAGUCCACACGUGAGGAGGCCAAAACAGGCAGAAGCUGUACUUUUGCACGAUCUACAGGAACUACAUGGUGCUGUCAGUGGAUCAGCCCAAACAAUGAAUGCAAUGAUACGUGCCCCAAGGAGCAUGGGUGACAAAAUGGUGUUAAAGAAAAGGUUCAUUUCAGAUUGUAAGAUGAUGACAUGCAGGAGGUGAUUUAAUAUUGCAGCACAGCAGCUGGAGGUUAACUAAGAUUUGAUACCGCUAGGUGGUUUCAGUGGAGCUGCUUCAUAUUGAACAAUGUGUGCAGUGGAGGAAUGUAACUACAAGUAGGCUACUCAAGUACAAUAUUCAUGGAUAACAUUGUGCUCAGAUGGGUAAGACUGCAUGUACAUUCCACACAAAUAAAGUAUCACACUUAAAAUAAUAA